ACCUUCUGCGCACCGGCUCGUGCCGGCGGCGCAGCAGCAGCGAAGUCCGGUGCGAACCCGGCGCUGUCCCGCAACUGUGAUGGUCCCUCGCGGACCUGAGCCAGAUCGCCUGCCCUGCGUCCUGCAA
rnacentral:ncRNA from 2 species